CGAGUUUUGAUCAAAAAAAGGUUUCGCUAUGGGAGGCUUGGAAAGUUUGGGGGGUCUGCAAAAUCCACGAUUAAAGUGGAAUAGUUUUGAGAAAGACGUAGUUUCAUAUAAAGUGAGGAGGAAUAAGCGACAGACAAGGAGAAAGAAGAUCCUCCAAAAUUCGACCCGCCAACUAAUAAAAAUGAGGCGUCGAAUGACUUAUCGCUCAUGUUGACUCGCGAUUUGUCUGGGUUCAAUCCCAUCUGCGCCCAAAUCCCUUAGGAUGGGACAUUAGAUUAACAACCUAAUUUCGGAAAAAAUUCAUUACGAAAACCUCAUGAAAGAUAGGCCCUGUUCCGCCUUGAGAUGUUGCACCAUCGAAUAAAUGAACGAAUGAAUGACUGAUAAAAAUAAAGCUAACACUAACAUCACGCAAACGUAGAGUAUUUUCAACUCUACAACGCUCGCGUUAGCAAAAGAGUAUCUAAAUAGGGGUUUAUUCUGUCCGAGUAGGAGUUUAUCCUGCCGACAGACUGCCGAGGGAUAAACCGAUUACCAUUAUUGCUAAUAUAGAUGAUCACGAUCGACCUAGCCAACAUUGAGUCAUCUUCCACAUCGAUUCUAGGGUCCGUCUAGGUCACAUCGAUGUGAAGCUGGCGCUCAACUUUAUCAAAAAUAAAAAUGGAUACCGUAGCGCGUUUGUACUUCGUUUGUACUUGUUUGUACUGAUCAUUAUUUCAUUUGUAC
rnacentral:lncRNA from 1 species